AGAUAAGUUGGUUGAUUUAUCAAAGGAAGCUAUUGAGGAUCUACUGCAAGUUCUUUCCAUGAAGUCUUUAGUUGAGUUGGAAGUUGGAGCGAGCAUUUGACAGUGAAGUUGAUUAAUCUAGAUUGUUACUCAUCAUGCAUGUGUUGUUGACAUCUGGAUGCCAAUAUGUCACAUUAAUCUCUGCUAAAGAAGACACCUCAAUUAAAAGAAAAGGAGAAGCCGCGAAAACCAGGUUCAAGUGUAGGUGUUGGAGCCCAAAUUUCAAACGGAAAACAUCGCUUGGGUUUUGGUUGAUGAGCAGAUAAAGCUACGCGCUCGAAUCGGCGGUGGUUAUGUCGCCGACAUCGAUUUGGGGCAAAGCGGUGGUGGUCGAUGUUGGUAGGUGACGCAGGUUUGGGGAAGAGCGAUGGUGAUUUGUGGUAGUAAGCUGGGUGGAUGCCCUAAAAAUGGAUACUGGUGGAGUGGAUGACACAUGUGGGACAUUGUUACGCUGUUAGCGUAACCCGUCCAACGGACGGGUAUUAAA